CUUCCAAUCUUAAAACAUUUUCCUUUCUUUUUCCUUCAACUCUCCGAGCAACCAAACGGAGGGCAAGCAACCUACGUCUAUUGAUUCUUGGGUUGCAACCAAUGGAUGAGAGGGCUGAGAGCAUUUCUGCGAAGAAGAUAAUGUCGCCCUGUGAUGUUGAGGCAUUAAAGAAAUGCUUGGAGGAGAACAAUGGGGACUAUGUGAAAUGCCAAUCUCAAAUUGAGGCUUUCAAGUCUUCUUGUUCACUAAAAAAGCCAAAUCCAUCUCAAGAGUCUGAACCACAGCUCAAGACGGUGCGCUCUCUGACCUCGGACAAUCCAAGUUCUUGACUUUGAAGAAUACAACUGGUGUGAGGUCCUUUGGUGCGUGGGAGGUUUGAAUCAUGUACAGUCUUGUUUUCCUUUCCUGCAUGACAGCUUGCUGGACAUUCCUUUCUUGCAAGGUUCGCACGAUCUGAUGAUAAUGAGACUUGCCUUUCAUAGAUUGAUACCUUAGCUGGAGGAUAUUUGUCAUGCUUGACUAAGGAGUGAUCUGCGUGGUUGAUACUAGCUUGGUUUGGAAAGGUGUGACCUGCUUCUACUUGACCGGUGGCUGAUAGCUUAACAUGGAUUGCUUUUGAAUGUUUUUAAUCUGGUAGAAGAUGUUAAACUUAAGUCUAGUUCAGAAACCAAUUGUUAUUUUGUUAUAGAGGUUGUACCUUGGAUAAUGUAUAAUUCUGUUGGAAAUAAUGUUUUGGACCUAAGAAACACUUUCUGUAUU